rnacentral:rRNA from 1 species
AGUCAAGUCAUCAUGGCCCUUACGGCCAGGGCUACACACGUGCUACAAUGGGCGGUACAGAGGGUUGCCAAGCCGCGAGGUGGAGCAAAUCCUAAAAAGCCGGUCUCAGUCCGGAUUGGAGUCUGCAACUCGACUCCAUGAAGUUGGAAUCGCUAGUAAUCGCAGAUCAGCACGCUGCGGUGAAUACGUUCCCGGGCCUU